AGAGUUUGAUCAUGGCUCAGGACGAACGCUGGCGGCACGCCUAACACAUGCAAGUCGAGCGCGAAAGCCGCUUCGGUGGCGAGUAGAGCGGCGCACGGGUGAGUAACGCGUGGCCAACCUGCCCUCGGGACCGGGACAACCCUUCGAAAGGGGGGCUAAUACCGGAUGAGACCCAGAUCGUGGGAUCGGGGUUGAAAGCUCCGGCGCCCGGGGAGGGGGCCGCGUCCCAUCAGCUAGCCGGUGAGGUAAUGGCUCACCGGGGCAACGACGGGUAGCGGGUCUGAGAGGACGGUCCGCCACACUGGCACUGAGACACGGGCCAGACUCCUGCGGGAGGCAGCAGUGGGGAAUCUUGCGCAAUGGGCGCAAGCCUGACGCAGCGAUGCCGCGUGGGUGAAGAAGGCCUUCGGGUCGUAAAGCCCUUUUGGUGGGGAGGAUGAUGACGUCACCCACCGAAUAAGCGCCGGCUAACUACGUGCCAGCAGCCGCGGUAAUACGUAGGGCGCGAGCGUUGUCCGGAAUCACUGGGCGUAAAGGGCGCGCAGGUGGGUUCGCAAGCGGGGGGUGAAAGGCCGGGGCUCAACCCCGGGACUGCUUCCCGAACUGCGGAUCUAGAGGGGGUCAGGGGCCAGCGGAAUUCCGGGUGGAGAG
rnacentral:rRNA from 1 species